rnacentral:rRNA from 1 species
UGGGGGAAUAUUGCACAAUGGGGGGAAACCCUGAUGCAGCAACGCCGCGUGAGUGAUGACGGCCUUCGGGUUGUAAAGCUCUGUCUUCAGGGGACGAUAAUGACGGUACCUGAGGAGGAAGCCACGGCUAACUACGUGCCAGCAGCCGCGGUAAUACGUAGGUGGCGAGCGUUGUCCGGAUUUACUGGGCGUAAAGGGAGCGUAGGCGGAUUUUUAAGUGAGAUGUGAAAUACUCGGGCUUAACCUGAGUGCUGCAUUUCAAACUGGAAGUCUAGAGUGCAGGAGAGGAGAAGGGAAUUCCUAGUGUAGCGGUGAAAUGCGUAGAGAUUAGGAAGAACACCAGUGGCGAAGGCGCUUCUCUGGACUGUAACUGACGCUGAGGCUCGAAAGCGUGGGGAGCAAACAGGAUUAGAUACC